ACUUUUAACUUAAAAUGUUUCACUUUCCAAAUUUUUAACUUUUGAAACUUUUACAUUUUUUAAACUAUCUUAGACGAGUUAAGGGGAGACUUUUUAACGUUUUACAUGUUUUUAUUUCUGAUUUUAGUUAUAGAAAGGCCUUUUAAACUUUUUUUUUUGAAUUGUUUUUCACAUUAAUUACUUCAUUUUUUUAUGUAUUAUAUUUUUUCUACGUCAUAAUCGUGAGGCAACAACAGAAAACAGACGAGUUCAUUUUAUGUGGCGAAAGCAGCUCAUCCACAGUCCACUGACCAAAGACAUCCUCUCUUCGGCCAUGUACCAGCCAAAUGCCGCCUUAAGUCCAGGAAAAGUUUUCUGAAAAGUGUCCCACCCCUCAGAACGCCGAACACAGGCAGUGAAAGAGUCACUCGGCGGGAAGAAAGACUUGACAAUCUUCCACCAGAAACUACAAUGGAGCUUAAAGCAAGCGAGGCAAUGACCCCAGGAGCAGACACCAACUAUGUAUGCAACGUGGAAAUGCCUAAAUAGACUAAGAUCUGGUGUUGGACGUGCAAAAGUCACUCUCGCCAAAUGGGGACAUCUGGAGGAUCGGAACAGCGAGUGUGACUGUGGCACUGAACCACAGACCAUGCAACACCUCCUCAUGUGCCCCUGCUGGAACAUCCCUGCACAGCAUCGAAUUUAGCAGAGUUUAACGAGAAGGGACAGAAAUGUGUUCAGCUGUGGCUCAACCACAUCUAGCCAAGCCUGUAACUAACUGCCUUGUAGCCACGAUAAGAAGAAGCUCAUCCCAGAAUCGAGGCCAGAGGUAGCCAUGACAUAUUACUUUAUUGUAAUAGGGCAACAGUUUCAAGAACACCUGUACAAGGGAGGCCUGCAUCAUGGAACACAAACUCCCAAACACACGACUUCUCCUGCUUCUUCUGUGAGUAGCCAAGAAGCACAGCGAGAGCCACGCAUUUCAAGAAGACUUGUACAAGGGAGGCCUGCAUCAUGGAACACAAACUCCCAAACACACAUGACUUCUCCUGAUUCUUCUCACAGCGAGAGCCACGCAUUUCAAGAAGACUUGUACAAGGGAGGCCUGCAUCAUGGAACACAAACUCCCAAACACACAUGACUUCUCCUGCUUCAUCUUAUGUUCCUGGGUCUUGCCUGUGGUUCUACAUGCAUCCAGUCAUGCAGACAGAGAACACCUUAGCCUUUAACUGUCGGAAGCUGUCCCUCUGCGAGGCCUCAUAGUAUAGUCUGUUUUCUGUUCUCAUUCAUUU